rnacentral:rRNA from 1 species
UACAGAGGGGGCAAGCGUUGUUCGGAAUUACUGGGCGUAAAGGGCGCGUAGGCGGCUCGCUAAGUCGAACGUGAAAUCCCCGAGCUCAACUCGGGAACUGCGUCCGAUACUGGCGGGCUUGAAUCCGGGAGAGGGAUGCGGAAUUCCAGGUGUAGCGGUGAAAUGCGUAGAUAUCUGGAGGAACACCGGUGGCGAAGGCGGCAUCCUGGACCGGCAUUGACGCUGAGGCGCGAAAGCUAGGGGAGCAAACGGG